rnacentral:rRNA from 1 species
GCAGCCGCGGUAAUACGUAGGGUGCGAGCGUUAAUCGGAAUUACUGGGCGUAAAGCGUGCGCAGGCGGUUCUGCAAGUGGGACGUGAAAGCGCCCGGCUCAACCGGGCGAGGACGUACCGAACUGCGGGACUAGAGGCAGGGAGAGGCGUGUGGAAUUCCGGGUGUAGUGGUGAAAUGCGUAGAGAUCCGGAGGAACACCAGUGGCGAAGGCGACACGCUGGGCCUGGCCUGACGCUCAGACGCGAAAGCAUGGGGAGCGAA